rnacentral:rRNA from 1 species
UCCGGGGGGAGCAAGCGUUGUUCGGAUUUACUGGGCGUAAAGGGCGCGUAGGCGGCCCCGUAAGUCUUGGGUGAAAGCCCUCGGCUCAACCGAGGAAUUGCCUUGGAUACUGCGGGGCUCGAGGCUGGAAGAGGGUAGCGGAAUUCCCGGUGCAGCGGUGAAAUGCGUAGAUAUCGGGAGGAACACCAGUGGCGAAGGCGGCUACCUGGGCCAGUUCUGACGCUGAGGCGCGAAAGCGUGGGGAGCAAACAGG